GUCCGGGUGGCGAAAUAGGUAAACGCGCAACACUUAAAAUGUUGUGGGCUCAAAAGGCUCUUGUCGGUUCGAUUCCGACCCCGGGCACCA
rnacentral:tRNA from 1 species